CCACUGCUAUCGGGAUGAGACUAAGACAUGCUAGUCGCGCGUCUUCAAGCCACGGUGGAGGCGCGGCGCACAGCUCAGUAACACGUGGCUAACCUACCCUUGGGACGGAAAUAACCCCGGGAAACUGGGGCUAAUUUCCGAUAGGUGAGGACUCCUGGAAUGGGUCUUCGCCCAAAAGGCGUCUAGACCAUGCUUCUAGGCGCUGCCCAAGGAUGGGGCCGCGGCCGAUCAGGUUGUUGGUGAGGUAACGGCUCACCAAGCCUAUAACCGGUACGGGCCGUGGGAGCGGUAGCCCGGAGAUGGGCACUGAGACAAGGGCCCAGGCCCUACGGGGCGCAGCAGUCGCGAAACCUCCGCAAUACACGAAAGUGUGACGGGGUCAUCCCGAGUGCCGUCCGCUGAGGAUGGCUUUUCCCCAGUGUAGAUAGCUGGGGGAAUAAGGAGAGGGCAAGUCGGGUGUCAGCCGCCGCGGUAAUACCCGCUCUCCGAGUGGUGGGGACGCUUAUUGGGCCUAAAGCAUCCGUAGCCGGCUGGACAAGUUCCCUGUUAAAUCCAGCGAUUCAAUCGUUGGACUGCGGGGGAUACUGUCCGGCUAGGGGGCGGGAGAGGCCGACGGUAUUCUCGGGGUAGGGGUGAAAUCCUAUAAUCCCGGGAGGACCACCAGUGGCGAAGGCUGUCGGCUAGAACGCGCCCGACGGUGAGGGAUGAAAGCUGGGGGAGCGAACCGGAUUAGAUACCCGGGUAGUCCCAGCUGUAAACGAUGCAGGCUAGGUGUUCGAGUGGCUACGUGCCACUCGAGUGCCGCAGGGAAGCCGAUAAGCCUGCCGCCUGGGGAGUACGGCCGCAAGGCUGAAACUUAAAGGAAUUGGCGGGGGGGCACCACAAGGGGUGAAGCUUGCGGUUUAUUUGGAGUCAACGCCGGG
rnacentral:rRNA from 1 species